GGGGGCGUUAUGGAUUCGACAUAAAUAAAAACUUUUUAAGUUCAUGUCGAGAUAUUUAACUUAUCUCGUUAAAUCAAGUUAAAAAAUAAUAUUUGCCAAUAAUAAAAAUUGUGCUCAUAAUUUAGGCUUAGCAGCAUAAUUAAAAGUCUGAAUUUAGAGCACUAAUUAAUAGUAUCGCGGUCAUUAAGGUCUUUUUAUUGACCGUAAAAAUAAUAUAAGACUUACUUUAAUAAAUAUUGCUCAUCAUAUUUAUUAAUUAUGUAAAUCUUUUAUAAAGAUGAAGCUAAACAUGUAUAAACUUCUUAAGUAAGAUUUAUGGACGCGGGUUCAAAUCCCGCCGCCUCCAA
rfam:Candidatus Portiera aleyrodidarum strain AF-CAI genome assembly, chromosome: I